UCGACUAAGGUUCGACUCGAGCGAAGCGAGAGAACGUUGCCGCAGGCAACGGCCCGAAGGGCGAGGCGCUUUAGCGCCGAGUAAUCCUUCCCCCACCACCA
rnacentral:sRNA from 1 species